GUCGGGAGCCCCGGCCCCGCGAUAAAAGGGAAGGGGCCGGGCGGCGGGCGGCGCGCGUUGCGGCACUGGGGGGAGCGUGGCCGGGAAGGAGGGAGGGAGCGAAGGAGCCGCCUCCCGCAGGAAUCCCGGGCAGGCGGCAGUAGCAGCGGCGGCAGCCGGGACGCGCGGCUCCCCCUGCCUGCGCGGCGGCGGGAGGCGGGUGAGCAUCGAGGAGCAGCCGCCGCCUCAUCCUGCGGCAGCGGCCGGCGCUGCCCGGCGAGCGCAGGUGGCAGUGUAGAAGCCAAGAACAAAAAUUGGCAGAAAUUAUAUUCUGUAUACGAGAGAAUGAAGAGUAUACUCAUGACUAAGCACAGGAACCUGGAAAACCACAGGAUUCCUGGGAAGCCACGGAGGAUGGGGUGAACUCAGAGCUGGAGCAUGAGGAGUUUUUUGGAACUUGUGAAUGGGAAGUUAUCCUGGGGAGUUGAAAAACCACACACCUGCUUCAUUUGUGCUUCAUAUUGGCUCUUUGGAGAGAGGGAGCAGAGAUGCAAAGCAAAAGAAUGGUCUUGUCAUGGGGAGCCAGGAAAGGGCAAAGACAAAUGAACAGCAGCGUCCAUUGCACAGAGUGUAUUCAGACAAGAUGGCAUGGAAUGGCACUGAACAAGGCACAGGACCUUACAGUUUGGUAUUAUUUGGAAUUGCAAUACUGCUUUCAUGGUAUAAUGGAUAUUCUUGUGCUGCAUAGUCUAUUGUUGUGUAUGCAGAAGGCCAAGUCAUGUGCAGUAAAAGAGGAGCAGUUGUAUUUCUUUGCAAAGGCUGCAUAGAGUUGAGUUUUUGAGACUCAAAGGUGCAGCAUACUAAAAAUCAAAACUAAAAAUAGAGUGGGAGUAUGAAAUCUCAGGCAUUGUUGUGACUGAGGUGAGGUCUAUCUACAAGAGUGUUCAGACCUCUGAAAGCAGAAAAACAGAAGAAAAUGAAAGGGUGCUCCAGGUAAAAUUCUGUAGACAGUUCUUAUGUGUUUAAAAACAGUAAAAAAUGUGAUAUUUUCCUGGAGGGGAAAAGAAAAAAAAAGAAAAUCUCUUUCAGAGCUGUGUGUUUAUAUUCAUAAAAAUGGGGAUCACGCUGUUGUAUAUAUUGUGAAAAAUAGGGUAGCAAUGUAGAUUAAGACUGCUAUUCCAAAAUUUUUGUUUUCUUUUUUGUGUUCCCUGAUAUGCGCUAAAAAUAUGUUCAAUAUCUUAACAUCUGCAUUGUUAUGAAAAAAUGGCAUGUCUUUCUUUUUGUUUUCAGUUGUGUUGUUCUUGCAUUACAUUUUGUUCCAUGCUCUCUCUUCUUUUGGGAUGUGAAGUCAUUUUCUUUUGUCAUUAGUAGAUGUAAUCAACUUAACUCCAAAACUGCACUAUGCACCACUUGGAAGAGGUUGUUUCUUCUAUUCUGCCUCAAAAAACUCACAUUGUAUGUUGUGAAUAUGGAGUUGCUUGUGGAAGUGUCUCCUGAUUGGCAGAGAGGGGCAGUAGGUAAAGGGAGCUAAGCCUAUCCCAUUUAAAAAAACAUGUGAGGUUGAAGAAAGACAGAGUGAGAGUACUUUGCAUACUAUUGUGUGUUAGCGUGUUUAAUCAUAAAUGCACCAGUACAUCCCAUUGAUUUCAACUGGAGCAUGAGAAGCAUGGGUAAGGCCAUGCCCUUGGCAGGCUUCUGAGCACCAUGCAGCAGAAGGUGAGUGAGUGAAGAUGGGCUGUAGUUCUGAUGCAUGUGUCAUGUAGAGGAAGCAAAACAGGCAAGAAAUAAGGUCAGACUUGCUGUAAUGACAAGAAAGGGAAAAGUUAAGAUGGACUAACAGUGAGGCCAAGAUGACUGGUGAGGGGUCAAGUAGGUGAGGGCUAGCUUGGGGAGGUCAUUAGCUGUUUGAUGUUGCUGCUUUCCAGUACGCUGACUGUAACACUAGAUUCCUUGAUUCCUCUUUCUCACCUAGUUGGUGCACUGGAAAAGGUCUACCCCACAAACUGUUGCUACUCAAUUGUCUCAAGAAGCAGAGCUGAAUGUUAAUGCUCUGACUCUGUCCCUCAGUUGUGCAGUUGUCAAUAUGUUGCCACAAAAAUAAAUUUGACUGUCUUGUUUGGUUAUUUUCUUUCCUUGAAAACUGAAGAAAUUCUGCAGGUACAGAAAGCACUUCAAAAAAAUGUUAAGGGGGCAGAACCAGGCAACCAGCACUGAGAAGUGCUAAAAUUGAGGUUGCAGCUCUGCUUUCUUGGAAGUAUGUGUUAGUGCAAAAUCUUAUAUCAAAUGGUAAGUUUUGUUGUUUUCCCAGAAUAAACAUGCCUGCGGUAAAAUGGUGGUGUUAUGGUAUGAGUAGGAGAUAUGUAGGACAGGAGAUUAUCACAGAUAUUCCUGAGCUUGGGCAAAACUGCCAAAGUCAUUCAGCUGUCCCAGGCAACCCUCUUCUCUCAGAGGUUUCCACUGGCUGCCUCCAUCUGCAGCUCCCUUCCUCUGGGCAGCAGCACUCAUGACAGCAACAGCCUCUGGGGCUAUGUAUGUUUGGUGCCAUCCCUUAAAAAAACGCUGGAAGUAGGGAUUUCCCUGAUUUAUACCCUUUUUGUAAGCUAGCAGCAUGGCGAUGGUUCCUGUCUUCAUACAAACUUCCUAUGUGUUUCAGAGGAGGUGCUGGGCUAUGCGGACAGCCUUCAUUUAUCUAAUGGUGCAUGCACUGUGCUUUGGGAACACCUCAUCUCUAAAUUUCUUCUUGUCACAAGAGUGGGAAGGUGUGAAAUGACAUAGGGCAUUGGACAAGGACAAAGGAGGGUCUCAUGGCUAAGACAUCAGGUGGUACAAAAGAGAACUGAGUUCUGUCACUGCUGCCUGCACCACAGUUUUCUUUUAUGAAGCUAUUAUUUCUGUGACCAACUACCAAAAUGCUGGUUUAUGUCUUAUUUUUCAGAUUUCCAAAUCAACUCCAGCAGUCACGUGGUCCUUCAAAGCCAGUUUUAGUUGAUGAGCAGUAAGAAAUUCAGUGUAAGUCACAACCCUUUCUAGAGAGUAAUAGGCAGUGAAACUGAACUAUUGAAUAGGUGACACGAGAGUGGAAAAAUCAGGCAGCUUGAGGUCUGGAAUGGUUCUGUAUUUGAAUUGCUCCUUUCCCCACCCACCCCCCAAACAAUUCAUAUUCUCCAAAGAGCCAUGUGCUUAAAUAGAAGUGUUUGAAACCAAAAAGACAAUAGAUACAUCAGUUAAUCUAUAGUUCUCGUCUAUAUUAAGUUACUUCUAAAUGGUAGUAAAGGCUCAAUUUAGCUGAGCACUUAGUAAGGCAUCUAGCUGCAUAUUUGAAUUGAGGCCAGGAUUGAUAAACUCGGAUACUGUGUGAUAAUACAUUCUAACAUGAACGUUGAAUCUACAGUGGUUAAUGUGUAUGUCCAAAGAUGACUGUGUCUUGCUUCUACUUAGAUUUGUUUUUUGAUUCUUUUGAAGCUAAUUUAUAUGUGAUACUGGGUAAGAGACAGUUCACACAUUCCCAGGAAAAAAAAAAAAAAGAAAAAAGAAAAAAGAAAAAGGGAUACAAACAAUUUAUUUAUUUUGAAAAGAAUGAAUUUAUAAGCAGAGAAUAUUCUCUAAUUUCCCCAAAUACCUGAGAUAUGUCACAGAACUCAAGUUUGUUUUGGUUCCUUUGACACCUUUUUGUUCAGUGGUUAGUGAAUCAUUUGCUGUCUGCAUGCAAGAUCCAGUUGCAGCAGACUGGAGAGAGUCUUCUGAGACCUCAGAAACCUGCAAAGGAAAGAAUUCCUUUGAGUAGACUAGCACCAAAACAAUACUCAUUUUUAACUUGUGGGGAAGCAUUUAAAUUGUGUCUUAAGUGUCACUGUAAUGAGGUCUUUACCUCAUUACUAUUUGGCAGUUUCAAAAUAAAACACAGAGAUUUUAAAGAUAAGAUGUUCAUGACUUCCAAAAGACAGUACACCUCAGGGCAGUUAUCCUCUACAAAAAGAGGAUAAACUUGAAAUUUCACAAAAGCAAAACCAUGAAUAAAGGACAUGAAAUGGAAGCAAUGUAAGGAAUAAAGAGUGUAAUUAAGGAUUUAUCUAUAGAACAGGCAGAAGAUGUACAUAAAAUAGUAACAAAAUUUUUUUGAAAUUUUGCUAAAUACGUGUGAGCCUGAGCUAUCCUGAAGAGAAAGAAAAUAGUGAAACACAUUGCUAUCACUUGACUUUCCAGUAGAAAAAUAUUUGUUUCCUUUUUUAUUUUGCCAUUGAAUUAGUGUGAAGGUUUUUUAAGUUAUUUCAUUGUGGCUUGGCUAAAGCACGUUUUCCUUAGGUUAUGGACUAAAUUAUAAUUUCAAAAAUUAAAAUUAAUAUCAGUGGCAUCAUUCCCUCUAAGUUUCUUAUGUAAAUCGGAUGAAGACUCAGCAGAAUGCUGUGCUUUUCUGCAUGACGAUGGUGACUUCUAGAAUACAGCGUCUCCAGGAUAUGAGAAAACCAAAGUGUGUACAUACAAAACAAAACAGCUUUUAUAGCAAGGAAGAAUAUAUUUGAUUAUUUCAGAAUAAAACAUAAAUGGACUUGUUAACAAACUGACAAAGUCAAUGCUUUUGCAAAGUUCAUGGUGAGGUAGAGUUGGGUUUUGUUCUGUAUUCUCAUAAAACUUAGCAAAGAAAGUAGUAGUUGGUUUUGACGGUACUCACAGUCAACAUUAAAAAUACAGUUUGAAUUAUAAUUUAGUAAAUAUAUUACUGUUGGUUUGGGUAAAAAGGACAUGAAGUUGUCUCCAUUUUGCUUAUGAUUUGUGAUUUUCAGCUGAAAGAUUCUUUGUGAAAAUCCUUCCAUAAAUAGAGCGUAAUUGUUGAUAAAUUACAACAUAGUAUUUUACUGCACAGUGAUAGAGCACUUUUCUACUCCGAUAGUUAGGACAACCUCGAUUUUGAGGCUUUCUAGAGACAAAAUUACCACUUCUUUUCUGUAUUUCUUCUGUUCGUUUGGUGAUCAUGGCUAAAUCAUGGGAAACAGUAGCUUCAAUUUUUCCUCUCUUCUUUAAAAUGAAGGCUUAACUAAGUACAUUUUAAGAAGAUUACUUUUAAACGCAUAUCUCUGCUAGGCAAAAUACCAAUAUGACAUAGUAUAUAUAUUUUUGUCUUUCUUUUCCUUUCUGUAGCAGUUAUUAUAGAAGUAAUUAUAUCACCAUAAUUUCUUUUCUUCUCCAAACUUUUUUGUUGUUGUUGUUCUCUUCAUCUAUGAAUGCUUAACUCCUUGCAUUAAAAAACAAAACAAAAAUAAAUAAGCACACAACAAUGAAGUAAAAAAAUCCUCAUUGAGAAUAUGAUCCAAUACUCCCAUAUUUGCCCAUCUCAUUAGGGUAUAUUUCUCUACUGUUUAACACCAGCUGACUGGUAAUUGUAGAAAAAAUUGCAUGUUUAUGGAUAGCUGAUGCAUCAUUUAGCUAGGAUAUGCCUUAGCCCAAUAUAUUUAAAACAUUAGGCAUGGAAUAGUAAUCUGUACAUUUACCUCUCCUUCUGGAAUAAUCUUUUUAUAAAAAUUGUUUUUCACUGUUGUUUUCUUUUGUAACUUUUCAGACUCAGAAAAACCUAGGUAGCUGCUGCUGACUUAAUGAAUAACCUUAUUGCUUAUUUAUUAGGGUUUUUAGUCAGCUUUUACUAAUUAUAUUAUACCAUGUGAGUAUUUGUUUGAUAUAUAUAUAUAUGUCUCAUUUUCCACAUAUAAUUCAGUGUUUUAUAUACACACGUGUCUCAUGUUUAUGUACAUGUAUCUAUGUACACAUGCACAAAUAAUCCCCCAUUUAUAUAUGGAGAGGGAGAGAUACACACAUAUCGGAAACAUAUAGGAGGUGUAUAUAUACUUACCCCGUAUCCUGUGGUUGAUUCCAUCCAUUGUCACUGUAACAAAAUGCUCCUCUCACAGUAGGUGAUCUGUAACUGUCCUUGACAUGCAUAUGUAUUUAUUCCUGUGGAACUACCCCUGCAGAGAACAUACUGAGAGAAUAUUGCUGGGUGAUUCGUAUCAACAAAUAGGGAGUGGGGGUAAAAUUGUGACAUAGAUACCAAUGACAAAAGCCAUAUUGACUCUAGUGGGAUGAGAAUGUAGGUGGAGAGAGAAUGAGCAAUAAUACAUUAAUAUAUUUAUAAUCUGCUGUUGCCUCCAAGUGUGCUUUCUUCUGCAUCACUGAUAUUGACCUUCUGUACUUUACUAUUCAGCUUAUGAAAACUAAUUCAAUUAGUAUCAAAGCACAGGUAAAUCUCAAAGCAUACUAGUACUCUUGUUGUAAUUAUUGUGUGUCAAAUUAAAUUGCUGUUAGAAAGACAUUCAACUGAAUUGAUCUCCAUUAGCUUAAGUGGUUGUGUGAGUUUGUUGUCAUAUGGGGAAAAAAAAAUCUCUUCAGUUGUAGAUUCUACAGUAAAGUAGUGAUCAAAAAGAGUAUUGAUAAUCCACUGAAAGCUGGGAUGUUAAUGGUGUUACAGGAUGAAGAGUAGUGAAAUAAAAUGAUGAGUCUAAGGCUGUAUGACUUGAACUUCUAAUGUGCUUUCUUCUGCAAAGAACUGAACAUGUAAAUCAUGCUAGUAUGACUGCUUAUGAACAUGAUUAUCAUCAGCCAUACAUAGCACAGUCAUCAAAUCCUGUGCAUAUCUGGUUUUCUAUGGGCUAUAUGAGUUCUUAGAUGUAAAAAUUAAAGAGUAUGACGAAGGUCUUGCAGAACCUGUGUUGUUUGUGAUGCCAAAGCUCAGCUAGUCAAGCAUAGAAGGUAUGGCUGAUAUUCCUGUACAUGGUUUCAGUUAAGACUGGGAUAGAUUUGAAGUGUGAACGUUCAGUGAAUAAUAGCAAAGUGUUGUAAAGCUGCUCAUUGUUUUUUCUCAAAGGACAAACUGGUGCAUUGCUCUGUGGAAAAUAAUAAGGGCAUAAGAUAGAUGUUGAUAUUCCAGAUGAUAGUGUUUGUGACAUGAGAAUAUCACAUACAGUAGUUACAAUUGAAAUACAAUUUAUUCAGACCACAUGUAUUAAUUUUGUUUUGAAAAUGUACGGCUGAGUACUUGAUAGUUUAGAUACAAUAAUUUUACGAAGAGUUGCCAAGAAGAAGUUGACAGUUUGGAACAAGGAUUGCUGUGGUUGCUACGUUCAGAAGCCUAGAACAAGCCAGCAGGAAAUAAUACCAGGGUGGGAAAGUAUUGCUAUGGUUACCGAGUAUUUUCUUUAAAGGAGAGGUGGAUAGCGCAGCAAGAAUCGCUGAAACUUAGGUAAUACUGUAUUAUAUAGAAAGCAAAAAGACUGAAAGAUAAUAAUUGUCUUGUGGUCUUAAUGGCAUUUUGUUAGUUUCCAGCAAAGAAGGAUUUAAUUACCAUAGGAAUAAUUUGUGGAAGCUUUGUUACGAAAAUACCCUUAGCUUUUAUUUUUUUUAAAGUGGAAUGCCAGCACAAUAUCUUGCAUAUUUUGGCUCCAUCUCUUUGUUUUUAAAACAAAAAGACCUUUUUCUUCUGGUGAAGUCGAUUGAGAGUUCUUUUAAAAAGAAUAAAAGUGUAAUUAUACCAAAAUAAUUUAAUUCAUGUAAACUCUUGACAGCUUUUCAGUAUACUAAAAAACUGUAAUAUAACUGCCUUUUGCAAAACUACGUGUAAUACAAAUUGAUUGCAAAAUACAGUAAGAAUUGUAAUAUAUAAUAAAAAUCUGCUUGAAGGAGUGCUGUAAAUAUGAACUGUAAAAGUCAUCUAGCAGGCAUCCUUUUUUUAUAGUAGACACCCUAUAGUACUUAAUUGCAAUUAGCUCUCUGUGCUUUAUCCUGAAAAGAAAGAAGCAGAAAACCACAACAAAGCUCAGCGUUCCCAUUUCAAUCUUGGAGAAGACCCUCUCCUUUCCCUCUGAUGUUUAUAAAAAGAGGUACAGUCUGAUGCAUCCGGACUGUGUGCACUGAACUGUGCCCAGUACACUCUGCCCCAUCAUCUGAAUCUCAGCCUCAGAGGGCAGCCUGGUUUAACUGCGUUUGUAGGCCCACCAUUUCGGUUCACCUGAAUACGUCUGAUGGGACUGCACAUAUAAGACGAAACUCAUGAGCUACACAAUGGCACCGAAGGUCUGCACCUGACCCUCUGUAGUGUGUCGGUUUAGUUCCUUGUCCAUGCUGAAGAGCACGGAGCAGAACUGAUCACUGUAGGAGGUAAAGGAUGGAAAGAGUGAGGGACAGACUAUCUCUGCUCACAGGAGCCUGCUCUCUGUUGGAGCGUAAGUCCAUCACACCAUACAAAUUGACCAUGUCACAACUUAACUUUGGGCAUGUUUCUUUGAAGGUAAGAAGACGGAGGAUUUAAAUUGCCGCAUGAAAAAUGUUCAGCUAUUUUUUAUUGUUUUCCAUAGUUUUAGUGCUCUUUUACCUGUGCUGUGAGAUAGGGAUAUGAAAUUUGGAAGUGGGUGGGUACCUGAACAUGGAAAUCAUCUGCAGCAUCUAGUAGUGCAGACCCUGGCUACCACAACUGUGAACAACAAACCUUUCUAAAAUAAUCUUACAGCUUUGUUAGAAAAUUCCAGACUUGUAUGCAGAGAACACAAAAGAUGCGGUGUGAAGUACACAGCAGGGACAGCACGCUUCAGACGGAUGCUGUAUACUGGAGCUGGAGUUUCUCUGUAUAAGGGCAGUGAGACAAAAACUCAGAAGUCUGGGAGAAAGACGUGAUAUGGAGGAGAUGAAGGAGAUGCAACUAUUAUGAUGAGAUCAACUGAGGAGAUGAGAUGAGGUCCCUUGGAUAGGUAAAUGGAAAGUGUAAACAAGAAGUUCCAAGAAAGGAAUGGUAACUGGGAUUUAGAAACCUGAGGCACUAGAGACUGAAAUGGAAUGAGUGACAGAAGAAGGUAGGAGAAUGUUACAGUGGUGAGAGUCAGUGCUUGGAAGCUUAAGAGUAAAUGAAGAACAAUUAUUCUAUGGCAAAAAAAAAAAAAAAAAAAAAAAAAAAAAAAAAAAACCAGCCAAAAACUUCUGAAAGCAGAAACAUCAAGAUUGAGGAAAUGAGUCAAAAGUUGUGUGCAAAUCAACUACAUUUUUGUGCCAUGGAAGAGCCAAAUAUUUCUGAGCAUGGGCUACUGUCUCUUGUUGUUUGCCGCCUGCUUUCUGUAGUUGACCCAAUGUCAAAAUGAUAGCUUAAAUAGAAGGGAUCGCCUUGCUGCAGUAGUUAGUCCCUCCAAAUGAUGGAACAAAUGAUGGUGCAAAUAAUGGAAGUCCGUAAUAUGUACUCAUGAGGUCUGUGCUGUGAUCAGGCCACUUUCCUAUGAAAGUGUUCUAUAUUUUUUCUUAUGACUUUAAAAAUAUACUGAAUAAAAGUAGGUUGAAUAAUAGGGUAAUAAAUCAGAUGCUAAAAAAUUACCUACAGUCAGAAUUUUGGCAGUGCUAUCUUAGUUCAUUGUAGUUCUGAUUAUGUAUCUGUGGCAGAGGAUCUAGUUACAUAUUCAUAUAAUAUUUAUUCCACAAGACUUCUUCCUCCACUCACUAAAUCAGGUGGAUUUGUAAGGAGAUGAAUCAAAUUUGACAGCCACAGACCUUGAAAGAUAAGUGGUGAAUGAGGAAAGCUCGGAAAGAAAGGAUGACUUAAGAGAAGGGCAAUGAAAUGCUGCCCAGGAGAGCUGGUUGCAAUGCCUGCUUCUGCCAUAGCGGUCUGAGAGACAUCCUCACCACUACUGAAAAGCUGGUUUCCCUACUUGUUUACGCCCUGUUUUGGGAGUGUUUGACUGCGCUCAGUUACUGGUAGUGCUCAGCAGUCUUUUCCCUUCAGUGAGGUCAGCAGUAGCUGCAUUUUGAAGGUCUCUGACUCCUGGCUGGAGACAGCUUGCUCAGAGAUGAUUUCCUCUGAGCUGAGAGCUUUUGCAGGAUCUUGCUGUGAGGAGAGCUGAGGUAUUUUUGAAUCAGCUGCUGAACUGAUGCAAUUUACAGUUUUAGCCUGCUAAUGUCAUCUAGUACUGUUUCUUGUUUUCUUUGCCAUAGGUUAAAUGUAACCACCGCUAACCGUGUCUAUCUAAGCCUUACUCUCUUUACACCACAACUCCCAACGUAUGAAAUGAAGAUCAUUCCUCUAUUUUUUUUUUUUUUUUGAUAGGAAGAUGGUACUCAUUAAUAUUAUGGAUGUCAUUUUCACAGUGUACCAACAGUGAUUACAAGCCUAUGAAGAAGUUUGCCGCUCAGAGUUGGAGUGAAAUAGGAUACAGCGGUUUAUGGCCAUGUAGUGAAUAGCAGCAUAAACCAAAAUAUCAUUUUGCUUGUUGAAUGAAAAGCUAAUGAUCUUGUGUACUGAAUGGGAUGGACCUGUAAAAGAAAAAGCUCUAGGUUUUGAACCAUAUCUGAAGACUGUAUCUUGCUAUGUGAAAACAUAAAGAAAGGUGGACUUAAGGCUGCACAAAUGUCCUUUAGCUUGGCCUCGUAUGCCUUUUGAGUGUUCAGCUUCACACUAAGGCAGUUUUCUGCACAUCAUACAUUUUUAGAUGUACCAGUAUUUUACAGACUUGUAUGCCUAUCGCCUCAUGAAUUAUUUAAUAAAAACACACACACACACACACACACAAAAAAAACACCACCACCAACAAAAAAAAACAGGAAUACAAAUGCCAGGAUAAAUUUUACCUGAUUUAGAUUGUUUUAAAAUGUUCUAAAAUGUUAGCACUUGGCAAAUCCGUGUGUACCUCCAUCUUGAUAACAACCUGAAAGACAGAUAUAGAAAGGAAUUGAGGUAAUCUCCAUGCAAAUUGUGGUCUUCAGUCUUAUUGUUUAGGUGUAAUGAACUUUAUAUUUGAAGAGUAGCAUGAGCAAGUUUUACACUCCACGGGACUGAAAACUCCUUUGCAUUCUCCUUGCCCUGUUCUUGUUCUACAACCUUGCUUAAAAGCUGGCUUUCAUUCAGUUUGCUAAGGUUCCUCCCUUUCUUUUGUUUUCCUCUGAUUCUUAAAUUAAACAGGACUUGAUUUAGCUAGUGACAUGCUAUUGAAAAGGUUCGGCUUCUAGCCAUGAAAACUGUGAGCAAACUAUUUGAAUUUUAAUUAAUGCCUCACAUUCGUAGAGGGUAAGGUUUUGAAUUAAGCUGUUGAAACUUUUUCGAGGCAAAAAUUCAUGGCAGUUUCUCCAUGACUAGAGAACGUGAAGCGUUAAUUUAUUUCUUAAAAAAAUAUUUGUAUAUAUUAUGUAACAUGUUUUUGUUGUUGUUGUCAUUGUAUAUAUAUAUAUAUUUAGAUACAGCACUGAUAAAAGCAGUUGUAGUUCUUGUGCAGAACUAGCCAUAAGUUCUUGUGCAUACCUAGCCAUAAGCUAGGUAGAGCAAGUGUGGAGAUGGUGGUGGCUGAUUUCUGGUCAUCAUCAGUCUCUGUUUAUGCUUGUAAGUUUUUGAUGUUGUGAAUAAUCCUGGCGAGCUAAAACUGAGAAAGAAAAUAGACGAGGAGCCCCUGAAAUCUCCCUUUUUCUCUUCUCCCACUGGGAACUACUGCAAACCUUUUCGUUUUGAAUAUUAUCAUUGUUUGAGAUUCCAUCACAAAACACUAGUAUGGUAAGAAAUACUGAGCAGAUGCUCUUGCAAACACAUAGGGGACAAAUAGUCUUCCUGUUUUUAUAUACAGGAAACAAACAGUGACUUGCAUAGGAACAGUUCAGACAUGAGAAAGAUAUUUUUGUCCUAUUUCGUUUGUGUGGUUACCUACAACAAAAUGAGAUUACUUGCAGGCAAGUGACAUAAUAGCCAUUAAGCCCCAAAGAAGGCUUUGAGGAUAUCCGUUUAUGCCACAAUCACAAAACUAGUACCGUGUGUCAAAUAGAAGAUCAAAAUGCCAAGAGCCUGGAGCUCCAGUGUGCCAUGAUAACACUGCAAAAGAAACAUCAGUAAUCAGUGACACCAUGUUCCUUGAUUGACCUUCUUGAGAAAGCAGAAUAUGUGCCAGUGUACUCAUCCUGCUUCUAGUACCUGAGUAGUCAGUUCAGAACUCUGAUAUCCCUGCGCCUGUCUGAGCCAAAUGGUCAAGUUGGUCUUUUUAUUUUAGACCUGUUGGUCUGGAGCUGCUUUUUAUUGUUUUAAAAAGAGUGUUGAUGGUGAUGAUACUUUUCACCUUUCUUAUGUUUAAUUAGAAAGGUCAUAAAUAUAGGUAAAGAAUGAAAAAACAAUUGAACAUUUGGAGGACGCUGAGUAAGAUGAGAGGAAAAUGCAAGCAUUGGCAACAUAAUUAUUUUUGUUGGACAGAUUCUGUAGAAUCUCAUUAGUGGUAUGAGCUGCAGUUGUAGGACCCUGUCACGUUUUGGCUGAUGUGCUUGCCGUGUAAGUAUUUGAAGGGUUCUCAAUGAACUAUGUGCUACAGGAGAAGACACUAGGUUGCCUUGUUAGUUUCCCUGUUUAUGUAGUAGUAAGAUGGCCUAUAUAUGCCCCUUUUCCGUGUUAAAUUAUAGUGCCUAGUUUAUUGCUCUUGCUUUGGUACAGGAGAUGUAUCCACUCGAGUGAACACAGAGAUUGUGUUCUCCUUUAUGAUGGAAAGGAUUACUGCAGUAAGGAGAAAAGGAGGAAGUUGUUUGGAAAUUGGAGCAUGGAGCUUGAAUGUGCUGUCACUCUUGGCUUCUGUCUUCUGUGGUCUAAUUUAUUUUUGUUUCACAACACGAAGUGUUGCUUUAUACGCACUUAUCACACAAUGUAUUUAAGUACGGGCAUGAACAAGAGUCACAUUUGUCAUUUGGGGUGUUUAGGAUGGGAUUGUUUAGGAUGGGAUUGUAAAGGAAAUUGUCUAGCUCUUUUGAGGUGCUGUAGCACCCACAUAGGUGGUCUGGUGCAGAGCUUGAGCUUUUUGGAAUUUGGAGGGCUGCUUGUAGGAAGCCAGGUGACACACAGGGUAUUUCAGACAGUAACACAGACUUGUACUGAGGCAACAGAAUUGCAUCCAAAAAGUCUGAAGAAAAUUUAUUGUUACAAUUUUUCUAUCAGUGCAGUUCUUCGUUUUAUACCUAGCUUGCCCAUUUAGCAGUGAAUUGUUUGAUAAUGAGGCCCAAAAGAAAACAUUUUCUACUUCCUUUAACUUCUUCCUAUGGCAAUUUGACACUUCAGAGACUGCAAUAUGAUGCUGCAAGUUCAUCAGAAUCAGUUGCUGCUUCUGCUCUGUUUAAAGGCACCACAGAAUGAUCCUAAAAACGCAUAUCCUAAGAAAAUUGUUACUUUUAAGUAUAUACAAGUUUUACAUUUUUUUUUUCUCCCAAAAUCUGAAAAACUGUGAUAGUGUCAGACAGUGUCAAGAUUAUAAAAAUGAAGUGUCAUGAAAAUCUUACCUUUUCUACUCUAAGAAAUAUCUCUGGUAUUUGAGAAGAAGGAAAGAGUGCUGAACCUAGGAUUUCCUGUCAAGGAGGGAAAGUAAGCCCUACUUCAUGAAGUCCAGCCUGAUGGCUAAAAGUAAAAAAAAUAAUAAUGUUAAUGAAAGCAGUGUGCACCUUAGUCAAAAUACACAUCUUGUUAUAACUUCUUGGGAAACCUGUAUAUCUGAAAGACUUACGUGGAGAAGUGCAAAGUCCUGCACCUAGAGAAGAACAACCCAUGGCACUAGUACAUACUGGGGCCCGACUGGCUGGAAAGCAGCUAUUUCAGAACAGGAUCUGGAGGGUCCUGGUAGACACAGACUUGAAUGAAAGCCAACAAUGCUCUUUUGCUGCCAAGUAAGCUGAUACUAUCUUGGGCUGCAUUAAGGGGAUUGCUGCCAGCAGGUGGAGGGAGGUGAUCUUACUCAGUAUUGAUGAGGCCACCCCUGGAGUGCUUGGUCCAGUUCUGGGCUCCCCCGUACAAGAGAGACAUACUGGGGAGAGCUUGGCAAAGGGCUACAAAGAUCAGUAAGGGAGCACUUUGAAUGGGAAGAAGACUGAGAGAGCUGAAACUCUUCAGCUUGGGGAAAUGGAGGCUUGGGGGGAUCUCAACCAUGUCUAUGAAAACCUGAAGGGAGGGUACAAGGAAGAAGGAGCCAGACUCUUUUCAGUGAUUCCCAGUACCAGGACAAGAGACAGUGGGCACAAAAUGGGACGCAGGAGGUUCUGUGUGACUAUCAGAAAGCACUUCUGUGCACUGCAAGUAACAGAGCACUGGUACAGAUUUCCAAGAGAGGCUGUGGAAUCUCCUUCCUAGAGAUCUCCAAAAGCUGCCUGAAUGUGGUCCUGGGCACCUUGCUGUGGGUAUCCCUGCUGGAGCAGGGAGUGGGCCAGAUGGACCCAGAUGUUCCUUCCGACCUCAGUUAUCCUGUGAUUCUCUGGUUUUGUUGUUGUGGUGAGACACCUCCUCCACUAUAUUUUUUUAUUAUAAAGAUGGUAGGAACUACCAUUCUGCUGUCCUUCACUGUUUUAGCCCUUGAAAUUUCCUUUAAUUUUUUUUGUAAUUUCUAACAUUGAUUUAUGUAUUGGUGUAUAUAAGUUUUCUUUUAAGAGCCUUAAAUAAUGGUUGUAUUGUCCCUCUGUAGUAUUGGAAGGCCUCUGACUAGUUGCUGUGUUUAUGCUGCAUUGCAUAGUCUAAAGGCUUACUUUCUCAUACUAACAAUAGUUAGUAUGCCAGCACAACAGCAGAAGAUCAGUCUACUCAACUUACAGACUCUUAGAAAUUAUGAGAUAGUUGGAAGUAACUAAUAGAAUCAUUGAAUGGUUUGAGUUGGAAGGGACAAGUAAACAUCAUCCACUCCAACCCUCCUGCAAUGAACAGGGACACUUACAGCUACAUCAGGUUGCUCGGAGCCCCUCCUGCCUGACCUUGGAUGUCUCCAGGGAUGGGGCAUCCACCACCUCUCUGGGCAGCCUGUGCCAGUGCCUCACCACCCUUAUCAUAAAGCACUUUUUCCUUAUGCAAGGUUUAAAAUUCAAAUACCAAAACUUUCUAGAUAAAAACUUGUGUGUAUUGUCUGAUGUGACUUUAAGGCAUACUGUGAUCAGACGGAGUAUUCUUUGGUUGUUGGACAGUUCUUUUCCCUCCGAUUUCUUUAACCUCUUCUUUUGCACUUGAUUAUACAUCAAAGUAAUGGUAAGGUAAUAAUUGUAUUUAUUCUUGUUUAGAGCCAUAAUGUAGUUUUGAGACAGUCAUGCAUACUGACCAAUGUACCAGUUUGAUGAAUAUUAUUGUACCAAAGUGUACAAUAAAUUCUACUUCUGUCUCUUCUCAUCCAGCUUUCAUUGAUUGUCUAGGUGCCAAAAUCCCAAUUAACUUCCUUACACUUGGAAUUCUUGUCCUGAUCAUGGACACUGAGACUGAAAAAAGCUUUUUGCUUUGCUUUUUUGUUUUGUUUUGUUUUCACCUAUCUCCAGAUAGAAGCACUGGCAAUCUUUCUCUUCCGAUACUGUUUUCUCUGAAAUUAUUUUUUUGAUUCUAUUUGAUUUCCAGAACACCUAUGGCUAGAUACUGACUCCGUAGUGUGAAUUCCCUGGUGGAGGUUGCUGGUUUGGUGGACAGACAUGUUUACAUCAACAGAAAAUUUUUCCUGUGUAUUGAUUCAAGAUGGCUGUGUUGAAGAAGACAAACUCUGAAUUGUUUUCAUAAGCAUGUUGUGAUUUUUUGUCCUCUUUAUUUUCUGCCACAGUUGUCAAGCCGUUAAUGGUCAUUAGCACUGAGAUAAUUAUUAGUUGCAGUGAACCUGCUCACUGUAAGCUGGGCUGUAUAAAUUAUACCUAACAGACAAGUGUGGGGUUUUUUAAUUUUUUUUUUUUAAUUUUUUUUUUGUAGUUCAGUUUUUGCCACAGUUCCUUGGGGACUGCAAACUAAAAAUAUGUUUAACUGUACAGAUUGUUCUAAUUGCUGAAGAUCAUUUCCUUAUUCCUGUAAGGACUUGCUGUGGGAGCAGCUCUGAGUUGACCAAAGGACAAAUUUUUGGCACAACAGAAAUCUAAUACUAGAUCAGAAGAGCAUCUUUUUUCAAGUAGACGCUGUUGGUAUUAGAAAAGGCCCUUUUGAUAAUUAGAAUUUUGAAAUAAACACUCAGGGAAAUACUUACCAAGGCUCUGCAAGAAAGCUGACUAAUUUAGAAUAAGUGUAUUGGAAGUUUACUAGUGAGUGUCUGUUCCUGCAAAACUACACCUGCUGUUACCAUUCCACCCAUUAUGUUCUAUCUUGGGGAGAUGUUUUUGUGUGCCACUACAGUAGGCUUGCUUCCAUGUAUUCAGUAAACUUACUGCAGUGAGAUACUUGGGAUUUGAUUUCAUCCUAAUACUGUAAGACAGUAGGAAAACCUAAAAGGAGAAUAGGACUUGUGUAUGUAAAGAUAUUUUUUAUGGAUUUUGCUCAACAUUGUAGAAUGGCAUCACACUGGCAAAAUUGCUUAGACAUGCAAUUCCCUGAAUUUCUCUCUUUUAAGGAAUAGAUUUGGUUCAAGUGAAAUAGUUGUUUAUCGAUGUUAGUGUACCUGUUUUUAGUAAUCAUAGAAUCACCAAGGUUGGAAAAGACCCGUAAGAUCACCCAGUCCAACCAUUCACCCAUCACCAAGCUGUAAGUCUUAUAAAGUUUGAAAAUAUAUAUUAUAAAUAUUCUCUUUGCAGGCACAGUACGUGCUUUUCAUGCAGCACUUGAUACGUGUAUAGAUGUACUUUGCUAUUCUAACCUCAGUUCUUUUAAAAAGUUUGUUCUGAGCCUGAGUUUGUAAAUUAUUCUGGGGUAAAGUUGAAUUAGUGGAUCACAUUGUUUCCCUAGCCCUGCAGAAAUUACCUGUGCACCACAGUUGUUUUGUUUUGUUUGGGGGGUGCUAAAACUGGUUUCUAUCUGCAGAAUUAUUUAACACUGUGCUACUCAUUAGUGUAGAGCAAGGAAGUUUUUUGUUGGACAUGGGACUGUUAAGCAGGAGAUGAAGCUCUAUUCUUAGCUCACUCUCCAAGCCUUCCUCUGUGAACUGGAGAAAAUCAUUUGGUCUUCUUAAGGCUUUAUGUUCGGCAGCUGUAAGCAGGAGAAGAGUAAGUUCUGCAAGUGCUCACUAAUGAGGCCUUUUAAUUCAUGAGUGUGUUGUCACGACGCUUUGGGAUCCUGAAAGGGAAGGUCCCAAAUAAAGGCAAAGGACAUACUGCUGCAUUCUUCCUUUUCAUGAUCAGAAAGAGCAGUUCAGAGAAGUCUGUUGAAGUCCUGUUUCCUCCACCCUUUAAUAGAUCCAUCAUCAAAUAUAAACACAUUUGUUUUCCUUCUGGCUCACUUUCAGCUUUCAUGUCUUACUCCUGUGGAAAAUCUCCUAACACAGAUCCUUUGGUUUCUGUUAAUUAUUGCUUUGUGCUAUUUAAGAAAAGUGAAGAAUAAUAAAGAGUAACAAAGUAGUUGGAGGAACUGUGCAGUAGAAAGGAUAGCUUUUGGACAAUUCAUGAAAUAGUUGGUGCCUUUUAAUAGUAGAGCGGCCCCUCUGCUCAUGAAUUAUUCAUUUUAAUGCUUUUGUUAUAAUGGCGACAGUGUUCAGUCUCGGAGGCUGUUCUGGAUAGCCUUCCUCUGCUGAAAUACUGCACAGCAGCAGCUACCAUUUGCUUCAUAAAAUAUUGCCUUUAUGUCAGUAAUGUAUUGAGAAAAUAUAUUUUCACAAUCAAGAAAGUGAGAAAAGGAGGAGAAAAUAACCAAAUAACCAAGAAGGUAUGUUUUGCCAAAAGGCUCAGUUAGUAAACUUUUCUGGGAGCUGUUCACGGAAAUUAUUUAGGAUAAAUAUUUCUGCUGAUUGUUGUGUUUAUUAAUGCAAACCGUACAAUAAUAACGCAUUAGGGAACUUGCUCUAUGUAGUGCUGUGCAAUAAAAGGCAGAUUAAAAACAAUCACUGUACAUAAACAUAUUACAUUUUUCUUUAAAUUAAUGUUUAAAAAUCUCCUUGAAACAUAUAUUUUUUUUAAGAUGAAACAUAACAUAACCCACAUAACCCACACAGAAAAUGUAUAUGAGUCAUAUGCAUACAGAAAUAAAAGUUUCUUUGUGGUAUCUAGUAUCAGUCUUUCAUUUAAGCACGGACUUUCCUAAACAGAAAUUCCAGUGCAAAUGGUUCAGGGUUCUCACCUCCCUGUCCCCCACCUCCCUACCCUUUUCUUGUGCUGACUUCAGCUGGUGCGUCUGGCAGGGUUAGGGACGGUCCCUGUGCGGAGUGGGGAAUUUGGGGCUGGGGACUUUGGUACUGGUUUCAAUGGGCACAAGCGUGCGCAAGCACAGCGCACGCUCUCUCUAUAACGUAUUUCAAAAAGGAGUGUUUCCUCCUAAGCCAUACAUGUGCUCAUAAAAUGUCUUCAGGCAAUAGAUGUGUGUGUGUGUGUGUGUGUGCGUGUGUGUGUGUGGAGAGGGGGAACGGAAGCAGCGAGCAGAUAGAUGAACGAUUAGGUCAUUUGGAUUAGGAAUGAGGGUUUUUUACACUGAGCUCUCUUCUCAUUCCUGGCUGAUCAGAUUCUCUGCACACAUGCGGGGUUGAAACUGCGUCAGUAGAGAAAAGAAAACUCCAUAGAUGGAUAUAGUGGCAGAACUAUAGGGAGUAUCGAAGAGGGGAAAAGUUUGAAUUGAAAGUAUAUGCGGUUUAGGGGAAUCUGAAUCAUGCAGUGUUACUUUCGCUUCUUCUAGGCUUCUAUUUCCUACGAACAAACCAUUGGGGAGAUAGAAGUUCUGAUUUAGAUAAUGUCUUGCAGUCUUUGGAAUAACACAUUCUGCUGGAGGGGGAGUUCUGGCAAUGAAGGUUGUGCUCUGGGGAUAGAGAGCCGUCCCCUCUGCCCGCACACACUGUGGUUCUGCUCUGGGUGUCACCUGGGGGCCUUUCCCCGCAAAACAUCCCUGGGUUUGGGUGGGUGCACUGUGUAAAAUGGGAGCACCGAUGGGAACCCCUCCUUUUCCUUUUUCCUGUAGCUCUGCUCAGACCAUUCUCUGUUAGCAUGGUAGUGGUACAAAGUGUGUGGUCUUUCAGCUCUGACUAAUGCAUUUUGUGCUGUGUGACUGAAAAUGCCUCAUAGCCUGCCAGGGCUGACUGAGGGCUGUGGAAUGUGGUGCCUUUUCUCUGUUUCUCUGAUUCUUUUUUCUUCUUUUUUUUUUUUCUUUUUUUUCUUUUCUUUUUUUUUUUUUUCUUCAGCAGAAGUGUGUAGGCAGCCUGUUGAGAAACCUCAAGAUGCAGGGGAAAUGCUUGCAUGUUGUGGAAUGUGGCUUCCCCUGGGAGACCCCCACUAGGCAGUCAGUGAAUGAGCGGGGCUGGAGAAUGAGAAAGGGAGGAGGCUGGAGGCAGAGAGAGAUAGGAAAGAGUGAGAGAGGAGGAAGGAAGGAGGUGGAAGCGGAGGGGCCCGUUUCCCUUUUUCUGAAGCAAUGACAGCUGGUUCUGUCCAGACUCACAUGACAAAGUGCUGUGGAGAGCAGUGCUUGAGCUUGAAGCUAGCCAGCACUGAUGGUCAGCUGAUCUUAUUCUCUUCUUUUCCAGGCUUUGGUCAGGUGAUCCACAGUGACCGGUCAGCCCACCAAGAAGAUACCUCAGCAACCAGGGAGCAUUCUGUCUCUGGCAAGUUGAACAGCAUCAGGCAACACAGACAAGGAAGAGGAUGGUCAUGUACCAGAGGAACUAUGUUUUCAUAUAGGAAUCUGUGGCCAUUUUGAGACAUUUAUUCACUAGCCCUCAAGAAGAUGGAUAAGUUGAUAAGUCGAUCUGGCUACUUGUAAUUUGAAGUUGCAUACCUGCUUGAAGCUCAUGACAAGUUCCUUAAGGUAAAACACGUGAGGAUUAAGCUUGCAAGGAAAUAUUGCGAGUUGAUCAGUUUCUGACCAAAUUCAUUGGGCUGGCAAGAUGAAAACUUCAGCAUGGGAAGGAGCCUUAUACAGCCUCAGCAAGUACUUAGCACUUCAAACCUAUGACCUUAAUUAAGCUUCUGAAUGAAUGUAUAUACGAGGUGUAACAUGUAAGUACACAUCUCCAGUGGCUCUGUCUGUAGUACAACAAAUCACUUAUCAGUGCACAACUCUUUCUUAAUCAGUUGAAUUAAAAUGUAUUUUCCAAUGCUUGAGGGCAUUUCCUUAGGUGCUUGGUAGAACACAAACUUCUCAAGAACACUAUGUGUGCUUUGCUUUGUGGUUACCAGUGAGCUUCAAGAAUGAAUACAGGUGAUGUGGUCCCCUGUGAAUUUAAGAACAGUCAUGUUUAUUGUCAAUAAUGGCAGCAUUUCCAUCUCAUGUCUAAUGAUAGCCAAGGCAGCCUCCGGGUGCCAGCUCCCUGAGCCAGCAGCUACCUGUGGCACAAAAUAAGAGGCAGCAAAGCGCCUAGUCUGAUGGGUGAGGUUUCACAGUGGGCAGCCGUGCUGCUCUUGGAGCUGCUGCAGCUGAGAUCUGGCCAGCAGGGCUCUGCCCCUCUGACCGAAUUCCUUGGAGAGGAAGGAGCACAUGGGAGGCCUCCCUCACUGCAAGCAGCUGUGGAAUGAGGAUGAAAUCCAAUGUUUACUCUUUCUUCCGGAAACUAUAAGGAAAUGCAGCUCUCACGUACGUUGCAUAAUUGUGUUUGCAGUUGCAAUAGGGAGAGCCCAAAGAGGAUGCAGGGAGAGCAUGGUGUGAGAAGCUUUGAUGCAAGAGGAAAAAGUGCGCUAAGGGCCACAGAAGUAUUUAACUGCUUUAUUAGGGAACUACCCUGAUCUUUGAAUCUUUGCUUAAGGGAAUUAUUCUUCUGGUUUCUAAGUAUCUUCAAAAAGUUGUUUGACCUUCAAUUAGUAGGUGCCAGCUAACUGGUGCUGCAAUGUAGUGUCCUUAAUGCUUGGAAUUAGUUGUUAGUAGGAGCAGGGAAGGUGUGCCUUGUGGCUGUGGUGGGGAGCUGGAAGUCAAGUUGGUUCCCAGCUUGCUGCUAUCUGCUGCCUGAUGCAGGUUGUAUGUGAUUGAUGUACUGUUCUCUCAAGGGUGUUGCUCACCUGAAGGCUAUCAGUUGUUCCAUCUUCUCCACUGUUGUCACAUUUGGGAAUUUAGCCUGGUUUUGCACUGCUUGGACUUUGACAGAUUGGAGUGAUUGAUUACAAAUGGUGGAAUAUUGAAACAGGCUGCAUGGGGGCUGGAGUCACUGUCCCUGGAGAUGUCCAAGAGCAUGUAGAUGGGGCACUGAGGGACAUGGUUAGUGGGGGUGGUGGGGGAUGAGUUGGUGGUUGGACUAAAAGGUUAUCUCAGUGAUCUUCCAACCUUAAUGAACCCAAGCUCUGUAUUUCCACUGGAACAUCUCAAGAACACAAAAGUGCUACCUUUAGUCAAACAGGUGCAAUAUUGGUGGGACUCCUAACUGUAGCACUAAUCUACCUGAGUGAUACCUGCUUCCCUGAAAUGACUCAGAAGCCGUUAACUGAGGAAUUGACUGUUAAGCAGGACUUGCAGAGAACUUCUGUAAUACUGCAGCUGGGGAUGGUGAAAUCUCACUUCAUGUUCAGAAAACCAAAGUGCUUUCUGGCAGUGGGUCUGUCUGAAAUCUGUGCACGGUCUUAGUGCAUGGAUGUCAGGGUGAUGCUCAGUUGCAGGUGCCUUGUGGGUUUUGUUGGCCAUUUUUGGUAGGCAGAAUGACAAGGAGAAGUGGGUCAUUUCCAAGCAUGAAAGGUGACAGUUUGUCAUCUAGUAACUACAUGAGUAACAGCAGCAAAGUUACUGUUGCAGGUACUGUUAUGUAAUAUAGCUAAGAUAAGUAUUCUUGCAGGGUUUCUUUUGUUACAAAAAAAUCUCUGCUGAACUACUGUGGUCUUAUGUAGAAGAUUCUUUUACUGGGAAUUACGUAUUUUAGUAGCUCUGCUGUAUUGUAAAGGUUGCUCUGGAAAAGAUAUAUAGGCCAUCCUGUAGAAAAUGAGUGCGAACUGUGGCAUUACACUUGAUAGUUGAGAGGCAAUUGGUUUCUAGUUCAAGUGCCAGGUUGUGCUCUUGCUCUCAGAUGAAGCUAGCAGGUGAGUUCUGCACCUACCUGAUCUGAUAGGGAGGGGAAAAAAUACUUACCUUGUCAAAAAGCUUGUGUCUUCCUCAGAAGCUUCUGCCCAAUGAGUCGUGUGAUAUUACUAGAAUGCCCCUCAACAGUGUGUGACUGCUUUGUAUAUUUUCAGUAUACCUUUGCUGCCUGAAAACUUUAUCUGCUGGAACUUUUUGACUUCUUGGCUGAGCUUGAGCAUAUAAUUCUAUGGUAGGGGAGCAGUAUGUGGUACCACAUAGGUGCACAUCAAUAAAGUGCCUAGAUAAGAGCGGGAAAGUUUAUUCAAAUAUUCAAUUGCUUUUUCUUUCUCACACCUUGGAGAGCCAAAACCAUUGGGAAAACUGUUAGUGAGAUGUUGGGUUAGCUCUUUUUAAAGGUCUGCAUUCAGAAAGCCAAUUAGACAGGAACAGCAAAGGUGCUGAUGGAUAUUCUGCAGAGCUACGCCAUUCAGUCAGACCAAAGUUGUCUUUCUCCCUGGAAUCUCUUUAUUUUCCCUAGGUUUUUUUUUUUGGUGCUGUUUCUUGGGCAAUUUUAUACAUGCAAUCUUAUAGAAUUUAUUAGGGGGGUUUUGUACAUGUGGUGAUAAAUGUUAAAUUGCUUAGACACCUUGAUUUUAAAAAACAACACACCCACUUCAUUGUGAUGCUAUUCAGGGAAAUGAUUCAGUGCAGUUUCAGUGGGUUUAAACAAUGGCUUAGUGGCACACCUAUUUGGUAGAAAGCUGACUUCUAAAUGGGAUGCCUGUUUUCUGCAAGUCUCUACAUAACUAACAGCCAUACACUGAAACUUGGUAGUAUCCAUGUCCUUCUGAAGAGAGCCUCCUUCUCUGCAUGCUGUUUUCCCACGCGUUGAAGAUUGCUGAGUGAAUUGGAUUUAUUGAAAUGAUUUAUUGGAUACCUCAAGCUUAAUUUUCAGAACAGUUUUAUCUUGCCAUAAAACAGGCAUAAGAAAGAAUUGAUUCACAUACAGCAUAUAGUCACUUGGUUUGAAACAGUACGCUUGAUUUUUAUGCAUGCUUCCCAUAGGUUGUGAUAGCAAAGGUAAUUUAUUUGUCUUUAUCUUUUUGUUCACGGCCUGUUUGAGUUGCAGAUAGUAAGAGUACACUACAGAGAGAUCGUAGUUGUAAGUCCUGUGCAUAAAGUUGUAUUCAGAAGCAGUAGAGUUGAUAUGACGAGUAGCAGUCUGUGGUCAUAAAGAUAGUCUGGAGGUGUGCUCACAACCUGUGUGCUGGUGUGUCAGUAUGAGAUCUCUAGCUGUAAUCUCUCAAGUACAAUGUGAAUUUUGAUGGCUUUAUUCCUGCCCACGUGCAUCUCAGGCACACGCUUGAGAGUGACUGUGCAGUGGAUGGGUACUGUACAAAUGAGUCAGUUCCUGUUCUUUUGGCUGAAGCUUCGUUAGGAGUUCUCAAAAAAGUAUUUCAGAAUGUGGAUGUGGUCAACAUAGUCAUUUUCCAGGCAUCUUAAAGGAAACCCACAUCAACUGUGAAAAGUGAACUUUGAACUCCUCUGUCCUGCCACUAGCAGACCUAGAGCUGUGCUGGGUGGAAUUGCUCUAUUGCUUUGGUUUACACCUUCACUUACAGCUUGUGCUUCUUGCCCUCGUGUGCCCAGUUCUUCAGAAGAAUUUCCAGUGGUGCUUCUGUGUAUGACUGACUCAGUGCUCCGUGGUGGUAUGUCAGCUAGAUAAGUAAUUAAAAGCAGCUUCUGGCAAAUUUGAAGCCACAUCUAAUUGUUCAGCUUGUGUUUCUGUGACGCCAAAAGUGUUUAAACCCACUAGGAGCUAAAGAGUUAUUUCCUUGUUAUUGCAAGAUGUAGUAUGGAACACUUCACUCCCACUGUACCUCCCAGGAUUUAAUACAUAGUUUUAACAGAGUAAAUUCUUCUGAAGGCACCAAUUAUUAAAAUGUACUUUUUCUUUUGAGAUAUCAGAUGGAUUAUUUUCUCUGGAACUGCUUGUUCUUUACUCUGAAACUGCCUAUUUUGAAUGGCUUCAUUUUGAACAACUUUCCUGUUGUCUGACUACUGCAGAGGAUUUUUUUGUGCAUAUAGUACUUGUGUGUACGUCACACAAGUUAUGAAUACACCAUGAUCUAGGCUCUGGAGUUAUCUCAAAAAAAAAAAGACUACUUUCUGUACUCCUUCAGUGAUUGACACGUGUAAGUCUGCUAUUGAGUUGUUAUCUUGUGCUGUUGUUUGUAUUCAUGUAG
ensembl:lncRNA